UAGCUUGACAUGUUUUUAACAUUUGCGGGUGUGUAUCAUUUACUACGAGUGAAACCAAUUAUGUGUUGCUUCAAAACAUAUGUUAUCUGAUGUUCCACCUCAUGGGAAUGUUUAGUUAAGAGUCCCUAGGCCAAAGGUGCCUCUUUGUUUAAAAGAAUGGGCUUCCCUCAGGAUGUGAACCACACAGUUCGUCUUAGUUUUACGUGAACAGCCCCCAGUUCACAUAACCAGUGGUUAAGGUUAUUCAGUGGGGUGAUUGUUUCUACCUCGAAUCUUCUCACGGGCGACUGAGAUGUUGUACUUGUUGCAAUAAACCUUUUUAUAUAUCAACAACACAGUAUCUGCAGAGAAUUUCUUCUUCACCUUUACAUCAUCGAAAAUCAAUAAACAACAAGAACACCUUUGCUGGAGCUCGUCACUGUUAAAGUCAUUAUUAAACAAGUUGUAAAUGUUAAUCUGUUUAAAUACAUUCAAAACAUUUCUCAAAGCACUCAUGGAGCUGCAGACAGUUUUUUAAAAGUUUAUUUAAGAUCAAUGUGGAGUUUAAAACAAGUUUAGCAUUUACAAUUAUCCAUCAAGAAAUAAAUCACUGAUGAGGAACAAACAGAUGACAGAUUAAUUUCCUGACAUAUGGCUGUAGUUUUCACACAGUCUGACCUGUACAGCAUUACAGCCUGUGAAGAUCACAUUUUAAAUCACACAUUAAAUCAGUAAAGGUGGUUUCUGUUUGGGGAAUUUGCUGCUAUGUAUGUGACAUUUUGCUGAUGAUGAAAUUAGAUUAAUGACAUUUAAAGAUGUAAUGAUGGCUGUGGAAUGAAACACUAUGACUGUCUUGACUGUAUCAACUACCUCUCCAGGUACCAACAGAAGUCCACUUCAUCUCCUCAGUUGUCUGUCUUUGAAACA